rnacentral:rRNA from 1 species
AGAGUUUGAUCCUGGCUCAGAUUGAACGCUGGCGGCAGGCCUAACACAUGCAAGUCGAGCGGUAACACAGAGAGCUUGCUCUCGGGUGACGAGCGGCGGACGGGUGAGUAAUGUCUGGGAAACUGCCUGAUGGAGGGGGAUAACUACUGGAAACGGUAGCUAAUACCGCAUAACGUCGCAAGACCAAAGUGGGGGACCUUCGGGCCUCAUGCCACCAGAUGUGCCCAGAUGGGAUUAGCUAGUAGGUGGGGUAAUGGCUCACCUAGGCGACGAUCCCUAGCUGGUCUGAGAGGAUGACCAGCCACACUGGAACUGAGACACGGUCCAGACUCCUACGGGAGGCAGCAGUGGGGAAUAUUGCACAAUGGGCGCAAGCCUGAUGCAGCCAUGCCGCGUGUAUGAAGAAGGCCUUCGGGUUGUAAAGUACUUUCAGCGAGGAGGAAGGCAUUAAGGUUAAUAACCUUGGUGAUUGACGUUACUCGCAG